GGCUUCAAUUAUUAUCAAUCGAUUAUACUACAUUAAAGUUUCUCUGUCCAAUGAUUUAUCAUCAUGGAGUUGAGUCCUCCUCCCCAUAAAUGUGAAGGAACACCUUGUUGAAUCCACUUCUUGAUUGAGUUGAUGCCUUAAGGCGGUUUUCCACUUCGCCCGUAUCGUACCGUAACGUAUCUGUGAGCAUGCGCAGAUUGAAAAGAGGUUUACAAAUCCACGUACUUCCGGGUGUAUUCGCGUAUCAAAAUAAAAAGUUCGUCGCAAGUCAACUUUUUGGCGUACUACGGAAGUACUAACCAAUCAACAUACACGAAAUUUU